rnacentral:rRNA from 1 species
UGGUGGAGUGAUUUGUCUGCUUAAUUGCGAUAACGAACGAGACCUUAACCUACUAAAUAGCCCGGCCCGCUUUUGCGGGUCGCCGGCUUCUUAGAGGGACUAUCGGCUCAAGCCGAUGGAAGUUUGAGGCAAUAACA